AUUUUCUACGUCCAAACUAAAACUAAAUUUGCUAUAAUAUUGCACGUUUAGUAUUCAAUUGGACCACAUUAAAAUUCGUGGCUUGCUAAUCCUCUUAAGGUUAUCGUGUGAAAGAUAAAAUCCUUAAUAAAGUAAAGCACACAAAUUUUUAAA